AAAUUUAAUAAGUUAACAGGCACAUUUAAUGUUUAAUAGGGAAAGUGGUAUAAGCCACUGCAGCCCCCGCUACUGUAAACGACGACGAUUUUCUUGAGUGUCCACUGAUGCUUUAAUGUAUUGGGAAGGAAAGAAAAAAGGUUGACUCGUGAGCCAGGAGACCUGCCUGUUUAACAAUGCUAAU
rnacentral:ncRNA from 1 species